rnacentral:rRNA from 1 species
UAUUGGUCAAUGGGCGGGAGCCUGAACCAGCCAAGUCGCGUGAGGGAUUAAGGCCCUACGGGUCGUAAACCUCUUUUGCCGGGGAGCAGGGCGGCGGACGUGUCCGACGUUUGAGAGUACCCGGAGAAAAAGCAACGGCUAACCCCGUGCCAGCAGCCGCGGUAAUACGGAGGAUGCGAGCGUUAUACGGAUUUAUUGGGUUUAAAGGGUGCGUGGGCGAGCUUUUAAGUCAGCGGUAAAAAGUCGGGGCUCAACCCCGUCCGGCCGUUGAAACUGGGGGCCUUGAGUGGGCGGGAAGAAGGCGGAAUGCGUGGUGUAGCGGUGAAAUGCAUAGAUAUCACGCAGAACCCCGAUUGCGAAGGCAGCCUUCCGGCGCCCUACUGACGCUGAGGCACGAAAGUGCGGGGAUCGAACAGG